AAACAGAAAGUCAUUCCACUUAUCUAUGCUCUUCUCAUUCUCUUUUGAUGCAGCACCAGUGAUUCAGUUUGAGUCAGACAUCCAACAACAACUGAGCAAAAGCAAUGGUGACUCACAGAUAGAAGAGACUGAGGCCAACAACCAAAGCAAAGGAUAGCAGAACUGACACAUUGCUCAGAAAAUAUCCAAAGCUCUGACUCCUCCCUGCUAUAGCAUCCAAAUGAAAAGGCAAGACUGAAGCUCACCAACUACCGUAAAUGAUGUCUUUGUGUCAGAGACACUGUUACGUGUUCCCCAAAUCCAUUUCAUUUUCCUCCUGACACGCAGCUAGACUAAUUUCUCCAUGUCUACUACAGUUAGAUGGAGCCACAUGACUGAGUUCUGACCAAUCUAAUGAGGUAAAAAUGAUGCAUAUUAUCA